UCCAUAUCUAAUAGUCAAUAUCUAAUAGUCAAGAUUAAAUGUGACCACUUUGUACAAAGAUAAAUCAUCUCCAUCCAUACUUUUUUCAUUUAAAUUAGCAAGAAUGAGGGAUGAAUUGAAUUGAUAACCACUAAAUUUGAAAAUAACUUUCAAUAAAGUAAUAAUUUGAUAACAACUUUCAAUAAAAUGAAGGACGGCUAAAAGUAAAAGGUUAAUUUCGUGAAGGCCACGCCAUGUUUUUAUAUAGGGAUAACAAGAAGCCAACUGUUAGGCCAGAUGGGGUAGUGUGAAAUUUGAUGCUUCUAUUUCUCAGAGAGAGGGAGAGGGAGAGAGAGAUAGGAAAGAAAUGGGUAGGGUGCUAUCUGAUGCUGCUGGUCCUUAGACAGAGAGAGAAGCUGAGUUUUUGAACGAGUGUGAGAGAUUUCAUUGGGGUUCCAGUCUUUCUCAACCGUAGUUAUAGAGGAUGGCUCGUCAUAAUCUCUCGGUUGUGUGCUCAGAUGUGCCUAUCGGCAGAAAUGAAUUAGAGAAAAAGGAACAACUUGAACAUGGAAGUGAGAUCAUAUACGUGGGAGAGAAUUAUGGGGCUGAAUUCUUCUCACAAUUGGGCAUCUUCUUGAUUGAUGCAAUACAGUCUUGAGGAGGCCGAUGAUAAAGUUCCUUUAUGUUUUAGAGGACAGGAUAGUGGUGGAUAGAGAUAAUAUGGUGGUUUACCCCUUGCGAUCAUGAAAUACUGAUUCUUUAUGAGGGUAUGGAGAUAUAACUCAUGCUUCUUGUAUUGCUCUAUACCUUUAAAAGAUAAAAUAUGUGGUUGAUAAGGUGAGCUAAUGCGAACGUAUGCCCCUUGCGACACGAAGGUUUGCCCUUUGCGAUAGGUUUGCCCCUUGCAAUACGAGGCUUUGCCUUUGCAACGACCUUCAAACGUAUGAAAAUAUAUAAUUUGAUGUAUUGCUUCUUGUAGUGCUCUAUUGUCUAAAAACUAUGAAAGAUAAAAUUUAUUGCUUCUUGUAUGCUUUAUUUAUGUGAUUCAUGUAAAAGUUUUUUUUUUUUUCACAUUUGAUAAUGAAAUGUACUGAAAAA